GCUUGGCUCAGAACUUCUCCUUGCUGCUUCCGUGUAAAGAAGGAUGUGUUUGCUUCUCCUUCCACCAUGAUUGUAAGUUUCCUGAGGCCUCCCCAGCCAUGCUCAACUGCUGUUCUGAUCAUGAUCAAGCCCAAGACAGAGCGAUGGGCGUGGCUUCCCCAAAGGUGUUUAUGAAUCCAAAAUCUGAGAGAGAGAAGACAAGAUGAAGUCACAGUCUAGUCAUUGCCUCAACACCAGUCAUUCCUACUCCCACCCAGACAACAUCAUCUCCACUCCCAAGCCCGAAAUGCUCCCUGCCAUGCCUUCGAGGCUGAGGUCUGGGAAGAAAACUCUAAGAAGAGAGAAAAGGGCACCAGUAUGGAGACCCUAGAAUAUAAAAAGCAGACUUAGCCUGUCUAACCUGUUCCUUGACUUGGCCAUGAUCCCAGGAAUGGAGGAAGGAUCUUCCUUUUCUUCCUCCUCCUGGAGAGGCAUCAGAGCAUGGGCCCUGGCUCUGUUACUCCCUGGCUGGGGAAGUUACUUACCUACUCCGUGUCUCAGUUUUACUUAUCUCUAAAAGGGGUAGAGUAACAGCACUCACUGGAGUGGAGUGUGGUUAUGCCUCCCAGCCUCUCCUUCAGAACUAGGUUACUUAUUCCCUCAGCUGCAAGGAGUGUUAGCUGCGGACUGCUCACAACGGAGUCUCUUCUAGGGAUUGCCCUCAACCGAAGGAAGCUGCAUUGCCCAAGAUGAGAUCCCCUCGCUGGGGCAUCCUGCAUCCAAUGACAAGUCAGUGGGGCGUACGAAGGCCUGGCUUCCUCAUCUCGAUUGGACAUCUCCAAAGGGCCAUCCCAGUUUCUGAUCUCCCCGUAGAAUCUCCUGAAGCCUCUGUUGUGACUGCAUCAGAGCCCAACCUCUCUCUCUACCCAAUCCAGUCUCCUUUCCUUCUCACAGGUGUUGUUCCCAAAACUCAGUAAACUGCCUACACGCAA
rnacentral:lncRNA from 1 species